rnacentral:rRNA from 1 species
AUAUCAAUAAGCGGAGGAAAAGAAACUAACAAGGAUUCCCCUAGUAACUGCGAGUGAAGCGGGAUGAGCUCAGACGUUUUAAUCUUCGGAAUUGUCGUCUAGAGAAGUUUGAUAUAGUCUGUAGGAUAAUUGAAAUCUUUUGGAACAAAGUGCCGAUGAGGGUGACAGCCCCGUUCAUGAUUAUCCGAAAGACGUCUUCAGACUUCAACGAGUCGAGUUGUUUGGGAUUGCAGCUCUAAGUGGGUGGUAAAUUCCAUCUAAAGCUAAAUAUUGGUGGGAGACCGAUAGCGCACAAGUA